rnacentral:rRNA from 1 species
CUGCUGCCUCCCGUAGGAGUCUGGUCCGUGUCUCAGUACCAGUGUGGGGGACCUUCCUCUCAGAACCCCUACGCAUCGUCGCCACGGUGGGCCGUCACCCCGCCGUCUAGCUAAUGCGCCGCAUGCCCAUCCGCCACCGGAUCGCUCCUUUGGCCACCGGAGGAUGCCCUCCGGUGGCGUCACGGGGUAUUAGGCCGCGUUUCCGCGGGUUAUCCCCCUGUGGCGGCCAGGUUGCAUACGUGUUACUCACCCGUGCGCCGGUCGCCGG